GAUGAACGCUAGCUACAGGCCUAACACAUGCAAGUCGAGGGGCAGCGGGAAGGAAGCUUGCUUUCUUCGCCGGCGACCGGCGCACGGGUGCGUAACGCGUAUCGAACCUACCCUUUACUCGGGAACAGCCUUGCGAAAGCAAGAUUAAUGCCCGAUGUUCCGCGUUUGCCGCAUGGCAAAUUCGGACAAAGUAUUUAUUAGGUAAAGGAUGGCGAUGCGUCCCAUUAGUUAGUUGGCGGGUAACGGCCCACCAAGACGACGAGUGGGGUAGGGGUUCUGAGAGGAACGGUCCCCCCACAUUGGAACUGAGACACGGUACCAAACUCCUACGGGAGGCAGCAGUGAGGAAUAUUGGU
rnacentral:rRNA from 1 species